UACGUAGGGUGCAAGCGUUGUCCGGAAUUAUUGGGCGUAAAGAGCUCGUAGGCGGUUUGUCGCGUCUGCUGUGAAAACUCGGGGCUUAACUCCGGGCCUGCAGUGGGUACGGGCAGACUAGAGUGCGGUAGGGGAGAUUGGAAUUCCUGGUGUAGCGGUGGAAUGCGCAGAUAUCAGGAGGAACACCGAUGGCGAAGGCAGAUCUCUGGGCCGUAACUGACGCUGAGGAGCGAAAGCAUGGGGAGCGAACAGG
rnacentral:rRNA from 1 species